GUGUAUUUUAUUCAUUUAUCUAUUUUUUUUAAACAUUCAAAGAAAGAUUUAAUGCUUUCGAACCGGCACUCUGCAAUGUUUUCAAAAGAAAAUAUUUGCUCGGAGGUCUGGAACACAUCGCCUAUUCCGUUUCGAAAGGGGAUCUUUCAUUUUCCUUCUUCACCAUACAGUUCAAAAUGAUGGAAAGGAGCUUUCCAUGGAAACCUUUUUGAAAAUAUAUGAUUUUUUAAACACCCUCACCUCGCCGUAUGUGUCCAUUUAUGUACAUUAUGCAUGAACACACACCAACUUGCGCGUAACUAUUUAUUUUUCAGAUUUUUUUUUUUUUUUAGUAUUAAGCACUUAAAAACAAUAAGAGGCUCUUUUUUAAAAGAAAAAUUCCUAAAAUCUAUAAUUUUGGAAGUGUCUCCUGCUUCAGCCUCCACAAUCACCAUUAUCCAUCUGUUUUGUUUAGUUUAAACAAAAGCCUUGUAAUGCGCUCUUAAAAGCUCUUAUGCUUCUUGUUGGCUACCACUUGUUGAUUCUACCUCUCAGGGCAAUCCAAUGGUAUGUGUAUACAAGUGGAACUUCUUUUUGCUUAGGAUAAAUAUAAUAGUAACAAUAAAAACACGAGGAUGGAAAUUCAUAGAUAGAUAGAGAUAAUUCAUAAAUGAAAAGUUAAGGAAAGUAGUGAAAGGGAUGAGGACUAAUAAUUAGCAAAUUGAAAUUUUGAAUUUUUUCUUAAUCAUCUCGGAAUUCCAAUUAACUACGCACCAGACAAGUAUCCGCUCUGACUUUGCGCGCGCGCAAGCCUGUGUAUAUGUGUGUGUGUCUACAUGAAUGUGUGUAUGUGAAUGUGUCACACAUACUUAAUAAAAGUAUCAAGUGGAGAUAACUACAUUUCGUUUAUAACACUUGGGACAGCAACCGAGUGCCGCAGUUCACUCGCUGAAUUGUGUUGUAACAUUAUCCAGUUAAUAACAAUUUACUUCGAUAAAACCGAAAGAAAAAUAAUGACCAAUAUCUUUUACCAGCUCUAAUUUUUGUGAAUGUCAUACUAAUCUAUCGCAAAAUAGUUUUUGUUGUGGUUUUAAACAUAAACCUGUGAAAAAUACUGAACUGCGAUAAUUUUGGAAGUGUCUCCUGCUGCAGCCUCCACAAUCACCAUUAUCCAUCUGUUUAAAUUAAUAUAUAACUUUUUAAAAAUUACUAUUAAUUUAUUAAUCUUUAAUAAUGACCAGUGAAAGGUGUGUUAUUUCUAUGGAACAAUUUCGCCAUAAGUAUUGGCAAACCCAUCCCGAAUCGUUGAUGGAAAUGAGUAACAUUUUCUGGAGUUACCAUAAAGUAAGUGCUACCUGUCUUAGAUAUGUUGGAUUCUUCGAUAAAUAUCGUUUACAAAAUCUUUCAGAACACUUUAAUGAUACCGAAGAGAUCAUCAAUCUUGGCAUCAACAUGAAUUUUUCGUGGGAUGUUGUUGAUAGUAUAAUAAGAGAAAACAACAUGGAUAUAAAAAGAUUAGGGGAAAUUUUGUUGACAAACUAUAUUUUGGUGAGUCACGAAGGCGACGAAAAAACUGUCGAGCAGAUUGUGAAUAUAUUUUGCGAAAUCGGUAAAAAUAAUUGUGGUAUAAAAAUUGAAGAAGAUUUUCGAUGCUGGUCGCAGCAAACUUGUGACAAAUAUAAGAAAUUGGAUGAGAUCGAAAAGAAGUUCAAAGACGGUAAAACUGAAAAACAACUGAGAGUAUUUGGGUGGCAAAUGAAACACACACCCGAACGAUUCUUCGAUUAUCUUGGAAAUUUUUGUUCACUUAAAGAAUACGAUAAAGAAGUAUUUGUUGAUCUUACUAAAAAAGACUUAAAUGAUAUGGCAGUAGAAUUACUAAAAAAUGCUCCUGUUGAGUUUGCCUUUCAAUAUUUACCUUCAGCUGCUAAAUACCAUUACGAUUCCAGGUUAGUCCUUCCCUUAGAAUGGAUAGCAAUUAACCCUGAUUCUGAUAAAAAGUAUUACUCAAAUGAAAAAUUAAUGUGGCUAUUCGCCACACAUGAUUUUGAUAAAUCCAUAUUUCAUAAAUUCAUGUUACAAAACUUUCCUAAAGAAGGAGUUUUUAAGGAAUUUCUUGAAAAACAUCCGCAGAACCAAACAAUUUCCACAUUUCAAAUCCUUAUGUAUGUAUUGGGAAGUAAAUCAAGUUCAAGUUGUGACUAUACUAAAAAUAUGAAAAUUCUAAAAAUGUUUGAACCUUUUGAGAGAUUUGUUUCGCUGUUCCAGGAUAAUUGCAAAGUUGAAAAGAUGUUAGUUUUUAAAAAUAUUUCUACCCAUGACGCUUUAUUAUAUGUAAUUAUAAUUUUCCUAAUCUGCGGAUGCUUUAAAAAAAAUCCUGUUUUAUGAAUCAACCUCUAUAUAGUUCGGCGAUUCUUUAAAAGUUCUUUCAAAAUUUUUCUUAUAAAGAUAAACUGAAAAGAAACGAAAAAACUUAAAGGUGGCAUCAUCUGCCUGUUAAGAAAUCCUUAUAUUGAUUACCACUUAUUAUUCAGCUGCUAAAUAGGAAACGAGUCUGACUGAGGAUAAUCCUUCGCUGCAUCAGAGUAAACCUGGAUUUUGUGUUGGAUUUCCACCGUAUUACCGAAGAGGAAGUUACUCAAAGGUCAAGCUUGGUCAUAUAUCUAAGAAUGACCCAAGACAAGUUGCUGUAAAAAUCAUUA
rnacentral:misc_RNA from 1 species